ACGACAAGGAUCGCUGCCCUCAAUGCAAAGGUCAAAAGGUUGUGCAGGAGAAGAAAGCAAUAGAAGUUAUUGUGGAGAAGGGUAUGCAAAACGGACAGAAGAUUACAUUCCCUGGAGAAGCUGAUGAAGCGGUAAUUAGAAUACUCUCUCCACUAAGCUUAAGAUUUUGAAAGGCUUCUUUUACUAAUUUUAAAAUUCUAUUGUCUCUUUGUUGUUUGACUAACAAUAUUUUGAACUCAAUAUGCUAUAUUGCAGCCUGACACGGUUACUGGGGACAUAGUGUUUGUGUUGCAACAAAAGGAGCACCCCAAGUUUAAGAGGAAGGGUGAUGAUCUUUUUGUUGAACAUUCAUUAACUCUCAGUGAAGCACUUUGUGGCUUCCAAUUUACUUUGACUCACCUGGACGGCAGGCAGCUUCUUAUUAAAUCCCAGCCAGGAGAAGUUAUCAAGCCAGGUAAUUAGAGUUUUAUAAGUGGCGAUAGUUGAUGAGCUUGUUUAAGUUUUAAAUUCUUCUUAUAUUUCUGCCAGUCGGCCUGCUUGUUUUAUGUUUGCAAUUAUAUCGUUUUUCUCUCUUCACUACGAGCUUAAUUUUGCCUUCAAUAGUGACCUUUUGUAUUCUCAUGCAUGUCUUUUUACUCAAUUUAAAAAUUAUAUACAGUAUAAAAAAUAAUCUUUUUUCUUGAGCUUAAUAAUCUUAAGCAUAACUUUAUUACAUCAUUAAGCAUCGAAUUUGAGGUUUAUAAUCGAGCCUUACCAACAAAAGCUUGAAUCUUCUUUCUUUUCUUUUCUUUUUGUUUAAAUCAAAGCGUGCAUCUCUUCCUUGACAAUUACAUGUAUUUAAUUACUUUUUCCAUCUAUCCACAGAUCAAUUUAAGGGGAUAAAUGAUGAAGGAAUGCCAAUGUAUCAGAGGCCAUUUAUGCGAGGAAAGCUUUACAUUCACUUUAGUGUAGAUUUCCCAGAGUCCUUGACCCCUGAGCAGUGCAAAGCUCUUGAAGCUGUGUUACCUCCGAGGCCUUCAAUUCAGAUGACAGACAUGGAACUGGAUGAAUGUGAAGAAACAACACUGCAUGAUGUGAAUAUUGAAGAGGAGAUGCGUCGGAAACAGCAAGCUGCCCAAGAGGCAUAUGACGAAGACGAAGAUAUGCAUGGCGGUGCUCAGAGGGUGCAGUGUGCUCAACAAUGAUCAGCCUGUAGGAAUUUGUUUAGCGACACGGGUGUUGGAUCUCACCUUCUCACUCCUACCUCUGCAGAAUGCAAAUAAGAUAUCUAGUGUGUGUUGUCUCCUCAUAGGAUUUACUCUCGG
rnacentral:lncRNA from 1 species